UGCCGGAUAGUGUAAUGGUAGCACUACUGACUCUGACUCAGUCUGUCUGGGUUCAAAUCCUAGUCCGGCAGCCA
rnacentral:tRNA from 1 species